GAUUUAUUUAUUUCUGCCAUAUAAAUAUAGUAUGAAUUCACCGCUACAAGUUUCUCUCUCUGCAUUCCACUUGUUACCCAAAAACCAUUCGAGAGGAAUCUUCCUAUGACGGCAAAUUUUCGCUGCCGUAGAUGAACCGGCCACCAGAGCCGACGGAUGAUUGGUGCGGAUGAUCGCUGCAGAUGAGGCGUAUCGAUGUAUUGGAUUCUUCACAAUUGAAGGAGUGCUCUAAAGUAAGGUUGAAAGAUGUAAAAAAUAUCAACCGUUAAGCUAGAUAGAGUAUCUGACGCAAGAUCCUAGCCGUCACCACUCUUUCUCUCUUCCUCUAUCUUCUCUCUUCUCCUCAGUAGGAACCUCCAUCAACGCCCAUGUAUCUCCAUUCUCCUCCUUAAGUUCUAACUGAAUUACUCAAACAACUUUCAACAUGUUCAGAAACCUCAUUUUCGGAUCUAAACAGUCGUUUACAAAUUGGACAUUCAUAUACAUUGAUUGAAUAUCCGAUUUGAGAUCUCUGAGAUGAAGUGACCAAAGAAUCAAAUGGAUCAAAUCCGUCUCCAGGUUCUUCAAAACGAUGUUGAUUUUUCAAACCCUUCUACUAAACUUGAGAAGAUAAAGCACUAACUCAAGCAACUUGUUCAAUCACCAAACUCUUUUUUCAUGAUGUGUUUUUUCACAAAAAUCUAGCAAGAUUUGUUUGGUCUGUGACAAUGAAAAUGGCACCAGAAUCAUCAGCCUGCAAAUGAGGUACAUCAUUUUCUAUAUAUGUGUAUGAGUUAUGAGGUCUUUUUCUUGUCACUAGAAGAAUUGUGCAGGUAAGUUAAUGUUUCACAUGUGAUAUACUGUGUCAUUGCAUUUGAAUAAUCUCUAAACUACUCAGUGCUAGCUUGCAUCCAAUUCCAAGAUUGUCAAUUGUGUUGGUCCAUGAAAGUGUUUAAAAUGUGUAUAAUGAAAGCCAACUUUUUUGAAUAAAGAAAUCCAAUUUUGACUAUCAUUAUGGCGUUAUCUUUCUAUAUGGAGAUAUUCUUCAAUACAACUUUCGUCCUUUGGUCAUAAUUAUGAUAACAAUUGAGGCAGUGCAAACAUAAAAUCACCAAUCUAUUCUUCAAUACAACUUUCAGUCUUUGGUCAUAAUUUUGUUUAUUUUUCCGUGAAGAAUGAAGUUUUUUAUUUAUUUACUUUUCUUGUUCAAUAUUGUUGCAUCUAAAUUGUUUGUAUAUUCUUCUCUAUGAUGUCCUAACUCAAGAAUUUUCAAGACUCAAAAUUAGUGGUUGAUUAUGAUGAUUUAGUUGAUAGCAAUAAACAAACCUUUUUAUUUAGUGAAAAUUGAUAACUUGCUACAUUUUUUAGACUAGUUAUUUUACCAUACUAUGAUUAUUUUGUUUCUUUGAUGUUUAUUACCUCUUUGUUUCUUAGAAUACAAAAUAUGUUCAUGUACUGCGCUGGAAUAAUCAUGGUAUGUUUUUCAUUCAACAUGUGACUAAUUUCAAGAUAUCAUAUGCUUGUGAGCUAUGAAUUUAUUCGUUGUUAGCGAUGCGUGCCACUUGGUUUAUGAGAUAAUAGGGUCUAUGUGCUUAUUAAUAAGUAACUUGCUGAUUCUUUUAGACUUUGUCAUCAUGGGCAACUUCAAGUGUUGAAAAAGUUGCUUCAAUAGGACCUGAUGAGAUAAUAGGGUCUAUGUGCUUAUUAAUAAGUAACUUGUUGAUUCUUUCAGACUUUGUCAUCACGGGCAACUUCGUGUUGAAAAAGUUGCUUCAAUAGGACAUGAUAUUCGCUUUUUCCACCUAUACAUGCGCUACAAAAUAUCUUUCUCUUGGUUCCAUUUUGUUGUUCAUUUUUUAUUUUGAUGCAAAUAGUUUGUUUUUCUUACAUGAUAAUGUUCUCUAUAUUGUUUAGGUUUAUGAGGACGAGAUUGGGUUCUUCUCUAUCUAUUUGUUGUUUUGAAA